GGAGGUAGUGACAAUAAAUCACAAUGCGGAACUUCUGUUUUGCAAUUGGAUUGAGAACAACGCACAACACUUAUCGAUAAACAAUUGGAGGGCAAGUCUGGUGCCAGCAGCCGCGGUAAUUCCAGCUCCAAUAGCGUAUAUUAACGUUGUUGCAGUUAAAAAGCUCGUAGUUGAAGUGAAGUGUGAACCUUCUGGAUUUUCGUUCGAAUUUCUUUCUGGUUCGCACUCUUUCCAAAUAGUUUGCAUGGGUAUUCACUUAUCUGUGUAUUGCAUUUGGUCAUUUACUGUGAGAAAAUUAGAGUGUUCAAAGCAUACGUUUGUUUGAAUACAUUAGCAUGGAAUAAUUCGAAAAGGCUUUCAUGUUCGAUUUGAUUGGUUUGUUCGUGAAGGCAAGAUUAAAAGGGACAGUUGGGGGUAUUCAUAUUCAAUAGUCAGAGGUGAAAUUCUCGGAUUUAUGGAAGAUGAACAAGUGCGAAAGCA
rnacentral:rRNA from 1 species